rnacentral:RNase_P_RNA from 1 species
CAUCAUUUUUGAUGAGGAAAGUCCGAGCAUCAAGAGAACAUGGUGCUGGUUAACGGCCAGCGGAGGCGACUCUAGGGAUAGUGCAACAGAAAUAAACCGCCAUUAUGGUAAGGAUGGAAAGGUGGUGUAAGAGACCACCGGUUGUUUAGGAAUAGACAAUGCUCUGUAAACCCCACCUGAUGCAAGGAAAGGGAAAAAGUGCGUUCUCUCGCUCCCUUGAUAAACCCGCUUGAACUUAAUGGCAACAUUAAGUCUAGAUAGAUGAUUGUCAAAUACAGAACUCGGCUUAUAGCAUAUC